CUGGCAGUUACUUACUUCCUGGCAUGCAAUUUUAAUUAAGGAGUCAGCAUGUCUGCUACACAAGCCCACAGGAGGCAGUAACUAAAAAUGACUGGGAAAACGUCCAUGGAUAUAAAGGAAAACAGCUCAGUGGCAUCAAAUCAGAGAUAGCUUGACAUUUCCCAGAUGUGGACAAGGAAGAAGACCCAAGAUGUGCUAUGGGGAUAUGCAUUCUGGAGGUUGUUGUAGAAGCUGAACCAAACUGAGGAUGCCUCCUUGGACUGUAAGGUUCUUGUAUGGGUAUCUACUGUCAGAAGACAACCUCGAGAGCAAUCCCAGGAGCUGUGCUCCCAGGUGACAAUGCAAGUAAGAGGCAGAGCUUUUCAAGGUAACGUAAGGGGACAGUUGUUCAGAGAAAUCAUCUAGGAGAGAAGAAAAUGCUUUUCCCAUUCGAAAAUGCCUUUCCCAUUUGUUAUGCAUUCAAUCAAGUGCUAUAAAAAACAAGAGACUUUAACAUUGUUUACUUCUGCUGAGCCAAGAAGUGAAAACUAUCAAAUUAUUGUGACUUAGUUAUUCCAGACUUAGCCUGGGAUGCUAAUGUUUUGUAGAUUUAGUGCAUAUGCUUGCUUUGCUAUCUACAUUCAUGAUAAGCACAGGUGAAAAUGGACAUCAUAUAACAUGAAUUACAAUGUUCAGGAUGAAGAACAACUUGCCUCGAUGAUGCUCUGUGUACUGUAAAGGUUGAGCCUCUAAAUCUGUCGAAUUAUAUUGGUUUAAAUAUAAUAAAAAGACUUUGUUUUUAAAGAAAACAU